CAAGGUGUGCGCACGAGGCGCCCGCUGGCAAUGGCGGGGGAGGGGGCAACGUAUGCGCACAAGGCCCCUGCGGGCAAUGGCGGGGAGGGGUGAAAGUGUUCGCGCGAGGCACCUGCUGGCAAUGGCGGGGAGGGGGCAACGUAUGCGCACAAGGCACCUGCUGGCAAUGCCGGGGAGGGGUGGAGGUGUGUGCCCGAGGCGCCUGCUGGCAAUGGCGGCCGAGGGGGCAAUGUACGGGCACGAGGCACCUGCUGGCAACUGCGGGACAGGGGGCGCGGUGGUAGGGUGGGGGGCAGUGCAGUUAUAGGUACUGGAUGAGAUGCCAGCACAAAAGACCCGGAACCCUAACGAACUGGCAUGGCAAGACACGGGCACAAGGCACCUGCUGACAACCGUGGGAAAAUGGAGGGACUGGCGCACCAGGCGCCUGCUGGCAACCGUGGGAAAAUGGAGGGGCCGGCGCACAAGGCACCUGCUGGCAAACGCGGGAAACUGGAGGGGCCGGGGCGGGGCGCGCGAAAUAGAUACUGGAGGGAGAGGCACGCGCACAAAGCACGCGAGACAUUAACGGUUCGGUGCGGCAAGGCAUGCGCACAAGGCAUCUGCUGGCAAUGGCGGGGAGGGGUCAAGGUGUGCGCACGAGGCGCCCGCUCGCAAUGGCGGGGGAUGGGGCAACGUAUGCGCACAAGGCCCCUGCGGGCAAUGGCGGGGAGGGGUCAAAGUGUGCGCGCGAGGCACCUGCUGGCAAUGGCGGGGGAGGGGGCAACGUAUGCGCACAAGGCACCUGCGGGCAAUGGCGGGGAGGGGUGAAGGUGUGUGCGCGAGGCGCCUGCUGGCAAUGGCGGCGGACGGGGCGAUGUACGGGCACGAGGCACCUGCUGGCAACUGCGGGACAG
rnacentral:lncRNA from 1 species